AGGCUGCGCUGCUGUCAGACGUGUCCAUCACCACAUGUGACAUUAAUGACAUCAUCCUGACCUCGCAGGAUCCCAGAAUAAUGAUGCUUGAAGGAUUUUCCAAAGUCAUCUACUUGCAACUCUCUUGAAAACUUUGAAGACAUUGGGCCUAGAAAGUUUCAGUGACUUGUCCAGGGAAACCUGAUUUGUGACAGAGUCAGAAGGAAAACUGCAGUUCCCUCUCUCAUAAAUAAGUCACCAAAAGUAUCUUAUCAAAGGGGCCUUCUGAGGAAUACAUCCCUGCUGAAACGAACAAUUAAAAAAGUUCCUGCCUUCAGGCAUCCCAUCUCUUUUCUGUGAAUUGUCUGUACCAAGAGCUGAGCCACAGUUCUCUACACUCGCCCAGGAGCCACAGAAAGUGAACGUCCCUCAGGUAUCAGUGUCAUUCAAGGAUGUGACUGCGGAAUUCCCCAGGAGGAGUGGCAGCAGGUGGAGUCUGCACAGAGGACCCUGUACAGAGAUGUGAUGAUGCUGGAGAACUACAGUGGCCUUGUCUCGAUCCUUCCUCUUGCCCAUGAACCCACCUGGAGGAGUCAAGCCCAGCAUGGAUGCCAAAGAGUCCUUCAUCUUGGUUUAACUUUAAGAAGUCAAAUGGAUGCAUGAGAAAGCUCCACAGACCAAAUCCAAGAUCUUAGCCAAGCCCCAAAGUAGCCUGUUACACAUUCUUCUGGAAGUAAUGACUGUACUAGCUUCACAUCUUCAUAACUAAAAAGGGCCACUUGAAGGGCCCAGAACAAGGUUUGCACAAAGGCACAAUGAUUUCUGCUACCUCAAUAGAUGCAGAAAAAACAUUUGACAAAAUCAAAAUCUCUUCCUGAUCAAAAUACUCAUCAAACUAGGAAUACAAAAUCCUCAACUUGAUAAAGAGCAUCCAUGGAACCCCACGGUGCACAUCAUACUUAAUGGUGAAAGUCUGCAUGUUUCCCCUAUGAUCAGGAACAAGCAAGGAUGUCUGCUGUCACCACUUCCAUUCCACAUUCUACCUGGUGGUUCUACCCAAGGCAACCGGACAAGAAAAAGAAAUAAAGACACCCAGAUUGGAAUGGAAUAAGUAAAUCUAUAUUUCCAGAUGACAUGAUCUUGUAUAUAGAAAAUCCUAAGGAAUCUACAAGGACCCUAUUAGAGCUAAUAAAUGAGUUCAGCAAGGUUUGAGGCUACAGGUCAAUGUGCAAAAAGCAAUUAUGUUUCUAUACACUAGCAAUAAACAAUCUGAAAAUGAAAUUAAGAAGGAAAAUCCCAUUUACAACAGCAUCAAGAAGAACAAAAUAAUUAGGAAAAAAUUAAUAAAAGAAGUACAAAACUUGUACUCUGAAGAUAUAUGUAUGGGAUAUGAAGAAUUGAGAACAUUCAUCCUCUGCUGAAAGAAAUGUAAGUUGGUAUCACCACUUUGGAAAGACAGUUUGGCAUGAUAGUAAAACUGAAUAUGCACAAACCCUUCAAUUCUGCAAUUCUGUUCCUCGGUUUAUACACCAGGGAAUAUGUACACAAAUGAGCAAGAAGUCACAUUCAUAAUAGCCCCAAACUGAAAAAAAACGUGCAUAUGCAUUAGUGAUGAGCUGGUUUAGUAAAUCGUGACAUAGUCAAACAGUGGAACACACUGUAUAACCAAUAAUAUGAAUAAACUACGGCUAAAAAAGCAUAUCAAAACUAUAAUUCUGAUUAAAAGAAUUAAAUCUACAUAACUCCCAUUUACAGAAAGUUUAAAAACAAGAAAAUUCAGUAAUACAUUUAUAAUAUAAGGAUAUAUACACAUAUAAUAAAAAUAUGCAUGGAACUGACCCUGUGGCCCAGUGGUGAAGUUCCCAUGCUCUGCUUCGACAGCCCAGGGUUUGCUGGUUCACAUCCUGGGCAUGAACCUAGCAGCACUCAUCAAGCCAUGCUGAGGCAGCAUCCCACAUAGAAGAACUAGGAGAACCUACAACUAGGAUAUACAGUUAUAUACUGGGGGACUUUGGGGAGAAAAAAAAAGAGGAAGAUUGGCAACAGAUGUUAGCUCAGGGCCAAUCUUCCUCACCAAAAGAAAGUGAUAUAAUUUAAAAAUAAUAAUAAAACUAUGCAGAAAAGCAAGAGAAUGAUUAACCUAAAAUUAAAGUUGAAGGGUGUCAGAAGGAGCACAAGACGUCUUCUGGUGAACUGGCAAUAUUCUGUUUCUUAA
rnacentral:lncRNA from 1 species